UAGGGAAUCUUCGGCAAUGGACGAAAGUCUGACCGAGCAACGCCGCGUGAGUGAAGAAGGUUUUCGGAUCGUAAAACUCUGUUGUUAGAGAAGAACAAGGACGUUAGUAACUGAACGUCCCCUGACGGUAUCUAACCAGAAAGCCACGGCUAACUACGUGCCAGCAGCCGCGGUAAUACGUAGGUGGCAAGCGUUGUCCGGAUUUAUUGGGCGUAAAGCGAGCGCAGGCGGUUUCUUAAGUCUGAUGUGAAAGCCCCCGGCUCAACCGGGGAGGGUCAUUGGAAACUGGGAGGCGUGAGUGCAGCAGAGGAGAGUGGAAUUCCAUGUGUAGCGGUGAAAUGCGUAGAUAUAUGGAGGAACACCAGUAGCGAAGGCGGCUCUCUGGUCUGUAACUGACGCUGAGGCUCGAAAGCGUGGGGAGCAAACAGG
rnacentral:rRNA from 1 species